AGUGAACGCUGGCGGUAGGCCUAACACAUGCAAGUCGAACGGCAGCACAGUAAGGGUUUGCCCUACCGGGGGGGGAGGGGGGGCGGGGGGGGGAAAACACGGGAUUCUCUUUUUUGGUGGGGGUAAAGGUAGGGAAAUUUACGUUAAUACGGAAUAGGACCACGGGGGGAAAGCAGGGGAUCUUCGACCUUUGCGCGAUUGAUUGAGCCGAUGUCGGAUUAGCUAGUUGGCGGGGUAAAGGCCCACCAAGGCGACGAUCCGUAGCUGGUCUGAGAGGAUGAUCAGCCACACUGGAACUGAGACACGGUCCAGACUCCUACGGGAGGCAGCAGUGGGGAAUAUUGGACAAUGGGCGCAAGCCUGAUCCAGCCAUACCGCGUGGGUGAAGAAGGCCUUCGGGUUGUAAAGCCCUUUUGUUGGGAAAGAAAAGCAGCAGGUUAAUACCCCGCUGUUCUGACGGUACCCAAAGAAUAAGCACCGGCUAACUUCGUG
rnacentral:rRNA from 1 species